rnacentral:lncRNA from 1 species
UGGAGAACCUCCCAACCACGUGUGCAUGAGGUUCAAUGCCCGUGCGUUUCAGGAGACGUGAGGAUGGGGAGAGUGAGGUAGUGAGGACAGCCACAGUCCAGUCAAGGAGAGCUUCCUGGAGAUGAGGCAGGAGGAGGAGAUUGGUUGGAUUUCAAUGACCUAUGAACGGUGGGGGCCACAUUUCAAACCAAACCAGAGGAUCAGGAGAAGUAAUGGGUGUUCAUGGGGCCACAGGUACGAGUGGGGGAAGGUGAGGGCCAGACAGCAGAGGAAGUUAACACUGUGGAGACGGAAGAGGGCACAACACCAGAGUACAGACCUUGACUCCCAGACAGAGGAUUCAAGGCCCUUUAUGGAAUGUUCUAGAUCUCGGCCUGGAUGCCUGAAGAAGCACGAGAGGUGUCUGAGCCUGGGAGGGGCGCCUGUGAGCUGGGCCUUAGAAAGACACCCCUGGGGGCAGCCAGACUGGAGGCCCAGAGGGAGGCAGCACCCGGGGCUACUUUAGGAUCAUGCUUUCCAGAUCCUCCCAACACAGAAAAGAGGUGGCUUUUGGAAGGUGUCCAGAGGUAUUUGUGGAGUAGAAUGGAAUACUGAAGUAGAAGAAUGCCCUUAACGGUGGGCUGUGGAGGAGGACAGGGCCGGAGAAAAGAUUGGGAAUAGAAGUUUGGUGAGCAGCAGGGACUCCAUACUGGGGGCGUUUCUAGGUCUGACAGUUUCGGGGAACAUCACGACCCCACGGGAUAGUGGUGUUCAGAGUGAAGAGACAUCCCUCUCUCUUCUCCUCUUUCUCCAGGCAGGACAUUCUUGGGGAGCCCCAAAAACCCCGACCUGAGAAAGCUCUAGAAGCACAGCAUUAGCUCACCACCCACCCUGUACGUCUUGAGUGCUUUGCGAUACCACAGGGUUGUCUGUGACACGUCCAGCCCAGCACUGCCCUGCUCUGCCUGCCUGUCUUUGGGAGGAUGGAUCUGAGGUUCAUGAACACUCCACUUCUCCUCUUGUAGGAUUCUCUCCAGACUAAGGUGACCGCCAUGAUGAAAGACCAGAUUCUCAUGAAGAAACCAUUUGUGAAGGAUUUUGAUCAGGCAACAUGGGCAUGCAGGUUUAAACACAGCCCCCAGCCUUCCAUGCCUG